rnacentral:rRNA from 1 species
GCCUGUUUAACAAAAACAUCGCCUUUUGAAAUAAGUAGAAGGUCUGGCCUGCCCACUGUGAUUAAAGGGCCGCAGUAUUUUGACUGUGCAAAGGUAGCAUAAUCAUUAGUCUUUUAAUUGAAGGCUGGUAUGAAUGGUUGGAUGAGGUAACGGCUGUCUCUUAGGGGUAAAAUAAAAUUUAGCUUCUUAGUUAAAAGGCUAGGAUAUAAUUAAAGGACGAGAAGACCCUAUAGAUCUUUAUAAAAUUACGUAAGCUCGAUGGGUGAGUUAGGGAUUUAAGGAAUUUUUAUUUGGUUGGGGUGACAAGGAAAUAAAUUAACUUUCUUUAUGUGAGCACAUAUGAGUGAAUAUAAGAUCCAUAUAUUAUGACUACAAGAUUAAGUUACCUUAGGGAUAACAGCAUAAUCUUCCUGGAGAGUUCUAAUCGAUAGGGAGGGUUGUGACCUCGAUGUUGGACUAAGAUUUAGCCCAGGUGUAGCAGUUUGGGAUAGUGGUCUGUUCGACCAGUAGAAUCUUACAUGAUCUGAGUUCAAACCGGAGCUCC